CCUACGGGAGGCAGCAGUGAGGAAUAUUGGUCAAUGGGCGGGAGCCUGAACCAGCCAAGUCGCGUGAGGGAAGACGGUCCUAUGGAUUGUAAACCUCUUUAGGCGGGGAGCAAUGCCGGGCACGCGUGCCCGGAGGGAGAGUACCCGCAGAAUAAGCAUCGGCUAACUCCGUGCCAGCAGCCGCGGUAAUACGGAGGAUGCGAGCGUUAUCCGGAUUUAUUGGGUUUAAAGGGUGCGUAGGCGGAUUUUUAAGUCAGCGGUAAAAUGUGCGGGCUCAACCCGGGCCGGCCGUUGAUACUGGGGAGCUUGAGUGGGCGAGAAGUAUGCGGAAUGCGUGGUGUAGCGGUGAAAUGCAUAGAUAUCACGCAGAACACAGAUUGCGAAGGCAGCAUACCGGCGCCCGACUGACGCUGAGGCACGAAAGCGUGGGGAUCGAACAGGAUUAGAUACCCCUGUAGUC
rnacentral:rRNA from 1 species